rnacentral:snoRNA from 15 species
AAGCAGACAGUUAUCCCUUUCUGGUCUUCCUCUCGUGACCUUAGAGGGAGUCAGUCUGCAACAUGAAGUGAUGGCAAGCUGUUUCUGGCCAGCAUCACAGUGUGUUGAUGGUGGUUUCAGCCUUGCCAGACACCC